GUGCUCACUUUAGCAGCACAUAUAUUAAAAAAAAAAUAAUUGGAACAGAUAAAAUUAGAAUGACCCCUGAGCAAGGAUGAUAUGCAAAUUCAUAAAGCAUCCUAUU